CAACCAAAUUACUCGAAUUAAAUGAAUGCAGAGGAGAAAUAUUUCUUCACUUAAGGUGUCCAUGGGCGACGGCACUCGUGGUCGUGGCAGAUACAGUGUAUGACUAGACCAUAUAAAACUUGAUGGGCGAGACAAGAAAUCCUUUAUGAAGAAAGCUAUUUACGUUAGCCAAGGGGCUGAUAGAAAGAAUAUUUAAUAAAUUAAUUGGAAUAAUAAAUAUUUUCCUCGUGAUGGUGUGAUAAAAUAAAUUCGUGUUGCGCUCUGUAGCAAAGUUUGUUUAACCCUCAUGCCUUGAAGUCCCCGCAACUGUCAAUACAAUUUUAUUUUAAAACCGCUGUCGCUUCUCUUGUGGUUCAAUUUUGUAAUUUUUCUUACGUUUGAGUAUCCAUAUGCUACUAUGAGGUGUUAAACAACAACUUUGCCUUUUGUAUUUCUAGGUAAUACAACUGAAUUAUUGCUUCUUUUAUCUCAAAAAUGGCUUUGAAAUGACAAAGUGAGAAAGUGUCACGAUAUUAUACACCGUGGGCUGGUAAAACCUGAUAGUUUUAAAGUUGUAUUCUUAAUCG